GACGAACGCUGGCGGCGUGCUUAACACAUGCCAGUCGAACGCUGAAGCUUGGUGCUUGCACUGGGUGGAUGAGUGGCGAACGGGUGAGUAAUACGUGAGUAACCUGCCCUUGACUCUGGGAUAAGCCUGGGAAGCUGGGUCUAAUACUGGAUACGACAUGUCACCGCAUGGUGGUGUGUGGAAAGGGUUUUACUGGUUUUGGAUGGGCUCACGGCCUAUCAGCUUGUUGGUGGGGUAAUGGCUCACCAAGGCGACGACGGGUAGCCGGCCUGAGAGGGUGACCGGCCACACUGGGACUGAGACACGGCCCAGACUCCUACGGGAGGCAGCAGUGGGGAAUAUUGCACAAUGGGCGGAAGCCUGAUGCAGCGACGCCGCGUGAGGGAUGACGGCCUUCGGGUUGUAAACCUCUUUCAGCACGGAAGAAGCGAAAGUGACGGUACGUGCAGAAGAAGCGCCGGCUAACUACGUG
rnacentral:rRNA from 1 species